rnacentral:rRNA from 1 species
ACUCAAAUGAAUUGACGGGGACCCGCACAAGCAGCGGAGCGUGUGGUUUAAUUCGAUGCAACGCGAAGCACCUUACCAGGACUUGACAUGCCAUUGCACCGCCCGUCACGGGGCGUCCCUUCGGGGCGGUGGCACAGGUGCUGCAUGGCUGUCGUCAGCUCGUGUCGUGAGAUGUUGGGUUCAGUCCCGCAACGAGCGCAACCCCUGCCGCUAGUUGCAUGAUCUAGCGGAACUGCCGCGAUCAACGUGGAGGAAGGCGGGGAUGACGUCAAGUCAGCACGGCCCCGACGUCCUGGGCGACACACACGCUACAAUGGCCGCGACAACGGGUAGCCAACCCGCGAGGGGGAGCCAAUCCCAGCAAAAGCGGUCUCAGUUCAGAUUGCAGGCUGCAACCCGCCUGCAUGAAGUCGGAGUUGCUAGUAACCGUGGGUCAGCACACCACGGUGAAUCCGUUCCCGGGUCUUGUACACACCGCCCGU